CAAUAGCGUAUAUUAAAGUUGUUGCGGUUAAAAAGCUCGUAGUUGGAUUUCUGCUGAGGACGAUCGGUCCGCCCACUGGGUGAGUAUCUGGCUCGGCCUUGGCAUCUUCUUGGAGAACGUUGCUGCACUUGACUGUGUGGUGCGGUAUCCAGGACUUUUACUUUGAGGAAAUUAGAGUGUUUCAAGCAGGCGCACGCCUUGAAUACAUUAGCGUGGAAUAAUAAGAUAGGACCUUGGUUCUAUUUUGUUGGUUUCUAGAGCUGAGGUAAUGAUUAAUAGGGAUAGUUGGGGGCAUUCGUAUUUAACUGUCAGAGGUGAAAUUCUCGGAUUUGUUAAAGACGGACUACUGCGAAAGCAUUUGCCAAGGAUGUUUUCAUUGA
rnacentral:rRNA from 1 species